rnacentral:rRNA from 1 species
AACGAACGCUGGCGGCAGGCCUAACACAUGCAAGUCGAACGGGACCUUCGGGUCUAGUGGCGGACGGGUGAGUAACGCGUGGGAACGUGCCCUUUGGUCCGGAAUAGCCCUGGGAAACUGGGAGUAAUACCGGAUACGGUCGAGAGACGAAAGAUUUAUCGCCGAAGGAUCGGCCCGCGUUGGAUUAGGUAGUUGGUGGGGUAAUGGCCUACCAAGCCGACGAUCCAUAGCUGGUUUGAGAGGAUGUUCAGCCACACUGGGACUGAGACACGGCCCAGACUCCUACGGGAGGCAGCAGUGGGGAAUCUUAGACAAUGGGGGAAACCCUGAUCUAGCCAUGCCGCGUGAGCGAUGAAGGCCUUAGGGUUGUAAAGCUCUUUCAGUGGGGAAGAUAAUGACGGUACCCACAGAAGAAGCCCCGGCUAACUCCGUGCCAGCCGCCGCAGUAA